CUUUAUGCAUAUGCAUGGUCUAUCUUAGUAUAACUUCAUCAAUAAAACCAUUUCAAAUUUUGAUAGCACAAUAUUACCUUAUUGCUUAAAAUAUCCAUCUCUGUUAAGAGAAUAGCUUUGUAUUUGCGAUAAGAAUCACAAUAUUGUCUAGCCACUUGAUUUUAAUGCUUAGGCACAGUCAAUGGCAUGUGAGAAUUGUUUCCAAAUUUAUGACCUGCAGGAUAUUGGUUUCCUAUGAGCCCACUGAACACCACAAGGGGGCAGAGUUGCCUAAGCCCAUCAAUUAGCUAAACAAAAUUUGCAACUAUGAUACUUUCUAUUGUCUUGUCUGUUACAUUAUUAUAAUUUAUUUUCAGGAUUAUUUCCUAGCCAUGACAUCAAUCUUCAUUCCUACCCCCUUAAAAAACUGAUACUUAUGUCUCGGAAUUAUCUGUGGAUUUGUCUGAACCCAGUUUUUCU
rnacentral:lncRNA from 1 species